AACGAACGCUGGCGGCAUGCCUAACACAUGCAAGUCAAACGAGACCUUCGGGUCUAGUGGCGCACGGGUGCGUAACGCGUGGGAACCUGCCCUUAGGUUCGGAAUCACUCCCCGAAAGGGGUGCUAAUACCGGUUAAUGUCUUCGGGCCAAAGAUUUAUCGCCUUUGGAUGGGCCCGCGUUGGAUUAGCUAGUUGGUAGGGUAAAAGCCUACCAAGGCGACGUUCCAUAGCUGGUCGGAGAGGAUGAUCAGCCACACUGGGACUGAGACACGGCCCAGACUCCUACGGGAGGCAGCAGUGGGGAAUAUUGGACAAUGGGCGAAAGCCUGAUCCAGCAAUGCCGCGUGAGUGAUGAAGGCCUUAGGGUUGUAAAGCUCUUUUACCCGGGAUGAUAAUGACAGUACCGGGAGAAUAAGCUCCGGCUAACUCCGUG
rnacentral:rRNA from 1 species